GAUGAACGCUAGCGGCAGGCCUAAUACAUGCAAGUCGAACGGGAUCAGGGAGCUUGCUCCCUGUGAGAGUGGCGCACGGGUGCGUAACACGUAUGCACCCUACCUUCAACUGGGGGAUAGCCUGCCGAAAGGAAGAUUAAUACCGCAUAACAUAAUUGAAUGGCCUCAUUUGAUUAUCAAACGUCAGGGUUGAAGAUGGGCGUGCGGCCGAGUAGCUAGUUGGUGUGGUAACGGCACACCAAGGCGACGAUCGGUAGGGGCGCUGAGAGGAUGACCCUCCACACUGGUACUGAGACACGGACCAGACUCCUACGGGAGGCAGCAGUAAGGAAUAUUGGUCAAUGGACGAAAGUCUGACGGAGCGACGCCGCGUGGAUGACGAAGGCCGAAGGGUUGUAAAAUCCUUUUGUUGGGGAAGAAUAAGGCUGGGAGGGGAUGCCCGGCUGAUGACAUGAACCGACGAAUAAGUCCCGGCUAACUACGUGCCAGCCGCCGCAGUAA
rnacentral:rRNA from 1 species